UUUUUUUUUCCUUUGAUAGGUUACUAAGUUGGUUAUUCCAAAAAAAAAAUAGUUAUCCCGAGCUUUUAAGAGGAAGAAGUUUUAUUAUUUUGCUAUGUAGGAAAAAUUUGUGUUUGCUUAUACUUCUUGGUGGAUUUUUUUUAUAACAAUUAAUGAUAGUCCUUUAUUACUUUAUUGGUUAUAGUAAAUUUCAAACAAUCGAUUAAUUACCUACUUUGCAUACAUUUGUAUAAUUUAUGCCUUGUCUUAUUUUUUGUUAAUAGCUUUCCUUUUUUAAUUCCGUACAAUCACAUUCUCCAUUUCUAUUAUUGAAUUGAUCAUUUAUUAUCAUUACUAAAAUUUGGACAAA
rnacentral:lncRNA from 1 species